GAUGAACGCUGGCGGCGUGCCUAAUACAUGCAAGUCGAGCGAACAGACGAGGAGCUUGCUCCUCUGACGUUAGCGGCGGACGGGUGAGUAACACGUGGAUAACCUACCUAUAAGACUGGGAUAACUUCGGGAAACCGGAGCUAAUACCGGAUAAUAUAUUGAACCGCAUGGUUCAAUAGUGAAAGACGGUUUUGCUGUCACUUAUAGAUGGAUCCGCGCCGCAUUAGCUAGUUGGUAAGGUAACGGCUUACCAAGGCAACGAUGCGUAGCCGACCUGAGAGGGUGAUCGGACACACUGGAACUGAGACACGGACCAGACUACUACGGGAGGCAGCAGUAGGGAAUCGUCCGCAAUGGGCGAAAGCCUGACGGAGCAACGCCGAGGGAGUGAUGAAGGUCUUCGGAUCGUAAAACUCUGUUAUUAGGGAAGAACAAAUGUGUAAGUAACUAUGCACGUCGUGACGGUACCUAAUCAGAAAGCCACGGCUAACUACGUG
rnacentral:rRNA from 1 species